UAAAAGGCGGCUUUUGCCGUCACUUUCAGAUGGACCCGCGGCGCAUUAGCUAGUUGGUAAGGUAACGGCUUACCAAGGCAACGAUGCGUAGCCGACCUGAGAGGGUGAUCGGCCACACUGGGACUGAGACACGGCCCAGACUCCUACGGGAGGCAGCAGUAGGGAAUCUUCCGCAAUGGACGAAAGUCUGACGGAGCAACGCCGCGUGAACGAUGAAGGUCUUCGGAUCGUAAAGUUCUGUUGUUAGGGAAGAACAAGUACCAGAGGAAAUGCUGGUACCUUGACGGUACCUAACCAGAAAGCCACGGCUAACUACGUGCCAGCAGCCGCGGUAAUACGUAGGUGGCAAGCGUUGUCCGGAAUUAUUGGGCGUAAAGCGCGCGCAGGCGGUUCCUUAAGUCUGAUGUGAAAGCCCACAGCUCAACUGUGGAGGGCCAUUGGAAACUGGGGAACUUGAGUACAGAAGAGGAGAGCGGAAUUCCACGUGUAGCGGUGAAAUGCGUAGAUAUGUGGAGGAACACCAGUGGCGAA
rnacentral:rRNA from 1 species